rnacentral:rRNA from 1 species
UACGUAGGGGGCGAGCGUUUGUCCGGAUUUAUUGGGCGUAAAGAGCUCGUAGGCGGUUUGUUGCGUCGGCUGUGAAAUCCCGAGGCUCGACCUCGGGUCUGCAGUCGAUACGAGCAAACUAGAGUGUUGCAGGGGAGACUGGAAUUCCUGGUGUAGCGGUGAAAUGCGCAGAUAUCAGGAGGAACACCGGUGGCGAAGGCGGGUCUCUGGGCAACAACUGACGCUGGAGGAAGCGAAAGCCGUGGGGAGCGAACAGG